AGGUUCAUUUGAAAUCACACCCUUGUUUGUUGUCGUCUUCUUCCACUCCGUCACUGUUGCUCCCGGAGGAACUUCCUUAAUCCUUCUCUCAUGUUCUGUUUCUAGGGACACCGAGUUAAGAGAACACGUUCCUGUGAUACUUUAGGAAUUAGUGCAAAUGUAAUCAGAGGACCACAGCAGGUAUUUGAGGUCCAGAAGAUGAUGGGCAAGAUGAAAAACCUGAUCACUGCAGAAAAAAAGAAUCAGAAGUACAGCCAGGACCAGAUGCUGAAGAAGAUCAAUUUGAUGUGGAUUCAUAGACUCUAUGGGAUAAAUCAGGCAACAAAGCCAGUGGGAAUUAAGAAGCAGGCAGAAGCAGAGCCAGGAGGUACACAGCUGAUUUAGCAUCUUUAUAGCUAUGAGUUUUCUUUUAAGCUCAUUCCCCUCUAAGAUACAUCUAUUGGUUUUGAAGUUACUGCUCCCUGAGACCAAUCUCAAUGGCGUUCUUGAACUUGAAAUCAAAAAGAUCUGCAUCCUCCUUCCAGCUCUGACAAGUAUUAGCUGCAUAAACCUAGACAAAAUAUUUAUAUUAUUUGAAUUAUAAUGGGCAACAUAAUAUCUCACUCAGAAAUAUUAUGAAGAUUAAAUAAAAUAUUGAGUGUCAGCUACACAGCACACUGUAGGCUCUUCAUGAUGUUAUCCCCUCCCUGUGCAUUCAUGCUUACAACACCCUUGAAGCCCUCUGGAAUAGAAAGUAUCCAGGUUUCAUGUUGUGGUGAUAGGGGAAAAUGGUCAUAUGAUAGAGGUGUUAUUACACCGGUGGAAAGUGUGAUGCCAGAUAAGCCACUUAAAGAUGCAACCCGUUCCUAACUUAGCAAGUACUGAGACCAGCUUCAGUGCCAGCAAAGUUUAAUACCCAUUCCCAUGAGCAUGGGACCCAGCAGGGUCAAAUGUAAGAUGAGUUCCUCUAAGUCGGGGUGAAGGAGAACUCAUGCUAUACAAAGCUUUCAUGGAGAAGACUAGGAGCAGGAGAUACAAAGUGUGCAAGUCAAUCAUGACUGUUAAUAAUAAGCAUAUAUAUAUACAUGCACACACACAUAUAGAUAUGAAACUAAGCACCUGCCAUGUGCCAGAGUCUGUGCUGGGAGUUUUACGUCUCAUUCAUUCUCAUAAUUCCUGCACGGUAAGUAUUAAUAUUGCCAUUUUAUAGAUGGGGACAUUGAUCUUCAAAGAGGUAAAAUAACUUGUCCAAAUUACACAGCCAGCAAGUAAUAGUAACGAAUCUGUUCAACUCUGUAUGCUUGGAUCUUAUUUUUGAUUCAUUGAUUUAUUUCGGAGGCUGAAAUAAUGUGGGGAUUUUGAUAUGGUUCUUCCGCUACAGGGACCUGCUACCAGUUAACCAGAGAUUUAACCUGAAAUUUUGAUUGCUGUUGUAUAGGCCCCUCCAA
rnacentral:lncRNA from 10 species